UUUGGCGGCGUGCUUAACACAUGCAAGUCGAACGAGAAUCUGCUGAAGGAGGAUUCGUCCAACGGAAGCAGAGGAAAGUGGCGGACGGGUGAGUAACGCGUGAGGAACCUGCCUUGAAGAGGGGGACAACAGUUGGAAACGACUGCUAAUACCGCAUGACGCAUAGAGGUCGCAUGAUCUUUAUGCCAAAGAUUUAUCGCUUCAAGAUGGCCUCGCGUCUGAUUAGCUGGUUGGCGGGGUAACGGCCCACCAAGGCGACGAUCAGUAGCCGGACUGAGAGGUUGAACGGCCACAUUGGGACUGAGAUACGGCCCAGACUCCUACGGGAGGCGGCAGUGGGGAAUAUUGGGCAAUGGGCGCAAGCCUGACCCAGCAACGCCGCGUGAAGGAAGAAGGCUUUCGGGUUGUAAACUUCUUUUAAGAGGGAAGAGCAGAAGACGGUACCUCUAGAAUAAGCCACGGCUAACUACGUGCCAGCAGCCGCGGUAAUACGUAGGUGGCAAGCGUUGUCCGGAUUUACUGGGUGUAAAGGGCGUGCAGCCGGGUCCGCAAGUCAGAUGUGAAAUCCAUGGGCUCAACCCAUGAACUGCAUUUGAAACUGUGGAUCUUGAGUGUCGGAGGGGCAAUCGGAAUUCCUAGUGUAGCGGUGAAAUGCGUAGAUAUUAGGAGGAACACCAGUGGCGAAGGCGGAUUGCUGGACGAUAACUGACGGUGAGGCGCGAAAGUGUGGGGAGCAAAC
rnacentral:rRNA from 1 species